AGGGAAGGGUGAAUCAUCGAAUCUUUGAACGCACAUUGCGCCCGCCAGUAUUCUGGCGGGCAUGCCUGUUCGAGCGUCAUUUCAACCAUCAAGCCCCUGGCUUGUGUUGGGGACCUGCGGCUGCCCGCAGGCCCUGAAAACCAGUGGCGGGCUCGCUGUCACCCCGAGCGUAGUAGCAAUCACCUCGCUCAGGGCGUGCCGCGGGCACCGGCCGUUAAAGCUGCCUUCGCGCAACACCCAAGGUUGACCUCGGAUCAGGUAGGAAGACCCGCUGAACUUAAGCAUAUCAAUAAGCGGAGG
rnacentral:misc_RNA from 1 species